rnacentral:rRNA from 1 species
AUUGAACGCUGGCGGCAGGCCUAACACAUGCAAGUCGAGCGAGAGGCGGGCGGGUGAGUAAUGUAUGGGGACUGCCCGAUAGAGGGGGAUAACUACUGGCAACGGUGGCUAAUACCGCAUACUAUCGGAUAACCCAUAUGGGAUUAGCUAGUAGGUUGGGUAAGGGCUCACCUAGGCGACGAUCCCUAGCUGGUCUGAGAGGAUGAUCAGCCACACUGUGACUGAGACACGGUCCAGACUCCUACGGAGGCAGCAGUGGGGAAUAUUGCACAAUGGGCGCAAGCCUGCUGCAGCCAUGCCGCGUGUAUGAAGAAGGCCCUAGGGUUGUAAAGUACUUUCAGUCGGGAGGCGUUACCGACAGAAGAAGCACCGGCUAACUCCGUGCCAGCAGCCGCGGUAAUUC